UAUACCCUACAUUAGCUAACUUUUCUAUAAUUCCUGUUUCAGUGUUUCCCGGAGGCUGACUUUGUCCCGGAGUGUCAAGGUGCCUUCACUGUACAUCUACUGACUGCUUCCAUUUAUGACAGCCUACCAAGACACUGCUGAUACAUGAAGACUCCUGUUUGCUGGCUUCAUCUCAAGAAUGUUGCUGCAAAAAUGGCUGCUAUCUACACAUAGAGUACUACAGAAAAAAUUGAACCCCCCGUUUUUCUUCACGUUAGAUAUCAAUGACACAAGAAGAUGGAUUUAUAGUUGUGAUAACACACAUCUUUAGCUGAGAAAUAUGAAAAGGAAUCCCUAACACCGCCGAGAACGAGUGAAAAUAAUAAUGUAGUUGUACCUAAACUUCGUCAAGAGAUGACGCCACCUCCGAGAUAGAACGCGCCAACGAUGUGUCGACGUAUAAUCAUGGCGUCCGAGAUACAAAUUACCGAUCGAUUUAGAAUUUUUGGAGAAGAUUAGUGCCUGUUGGCUGCAUAAAUGCAUACCCCUGGUGAGGUUACAGUAGCUUCGCACAAGUUUAUCAGUCAUUUUACAUAGUGUUGUAAUAAAUAAGCUAACUACGUUGUUUUCGACUGCGGAGAGUAACCCUUACUACAAUAGAAUAAUAAUAAAAUAUUAUACCAUUAUAUUUUAUAAGCUACUCGAGUUUUAUUUUCUAUCUGUACAUAAUAACUAUGGAAUGAUAAAUUUAAUGUUUCAUGAUUUUUAUUUAAAACCUUCCUACGUGUAAAUAAUAACUUGAAUAAUAAAAUUAAUGUAUCACGACUAUUAUUUAAGACACCAAAGAACUACCCAAAAAUAAGCAUACUCACUCCGUUUUCACGCCAACAAAAGCCAUAAAGGCUACUUAUACAUAGAUAUUUCUAGAAAAACCGUAGUAAUCCAGGUAAACUACAUCCUGCGUCACUUAGCACCAAAAUGUACCCUCCCCCUUUUAUAUCUAAAUAUAUAAAUAAAUAUCCCCUUAAUAAACUACUCGUAAUAUUUGGCCUCGUAAUCGUCUAGUUAACAGUUAGGACCCCUCGAAGUG